UACGAAGGGUGCAAGCGUUACUCGGAAUUACUGGGCGUAAAGCGUGCGUAGGUGGUUAGUUAAGUCUGUCGUGAAAGCCCCGGGCUCAACCUGGGAAUGGCGAUGGAUACUGGCUCGCUAGAGUGCGGUAGAGGAGAGUGGAAUUCCCGGUGUAGCAGUGAAAUGCGUAGAGAUCGGGAGGAACAUCAGUUGCGAAGGCGGCUCUCUGGACCAGCACUGACACUGAGGCACGAAAGCGUGGGGAGCAAACAGG
rnacentral:rRNA from 1 species